ensembl:lncRNA
CUCCAACGCCCCAUCCACCGCCUGAAGAAGCAGGUGGAAUGCCAUAGCAGUGAGGCUCCAACGCCCCAUCCACCGCCUGAAGAAGCAGGUGGAAUGCCAUAGCAGUGAGGCUCCAACGCCCCAUCCACCACCUGAAGAAGCAGGUGGAAUGCCAUAGCAGUGAGGCUCCAACGCCCCAUCCACCGCCUGAAGAAGCAGGUGGAAUGCCAUAGCAGUGAGGCUCCCGUGUUCCAUCUUGGUGAUCACUUUUCACCGGGAACCUCCUGCUCCUGCCCUGCCGGAAACUGAGCCCCUGGUUUUGUGGGGCCAUUCAAUGUCCUCUGGAGGGUAAAUGAGGCCGGUGGCUCCUGGUCCCCUGGUUGAUGUUGUCCCCCACUCCACCCCUCUGCUUCCCUUGGAUAUCGAGGGGAGUCCUGCCUAUGCAGUCAGAUCACUCCUGGACUCCCGACAUCGUGGAGCUCCAUUUCCUGGGAGGGAUACAGCCCAGAGGAGCGGUGCUGGGUUCCGGUGGACAACAUUCUAGAUCUUAACAUUAUCCGAGAGUCCCACCUUCGCCUUCUGGACCGGCCCUCUCCACGUCCUUGGGACCGUCCUCCUGGCAAGUGUCGUCCUGCGGCUGGACCCGCGCGUACGAGGGGGGGGUACUCUCACGUCUGCUCCCGCUCUCCCACUCCGGUGUUCGACGUCACCAGUCUGCUAACCAACCCAUCAUUACACACACCUGGACUUCAUCACUUCCCUGAUUUCUCCCUCUUUAUCUACAACUGUAUUCAACCCCUCAAUCAGUAUUGGUUAUGUUUUCCUUGUCAGACGUUUCUCUUGCUUUUGCAAUCGUUCUCUGUUCAUGAAUAUUAAACUCACUAAUUGCAC